UUACGGGAGGCAGCAGUGGGGAAUUUUGCGCAAUGGGGGAAACCCUGACGCAGCGAUGCCGCGUGGAGGACGAAGGUCUUCGGAUUGUAAACUCCUUUUACGGGGGAAAAAUACCUGCGUGAAUAACGCAGGUUGAUGGUACUCCGUGAAUAAGCCACGGCUAACUUCGUGCCAGCAGCCGCGGUAAGACGAAGGUGGCAAGCGUUACUCGGAAUUACUAGGCGUAAAGCGUGGGUAGGUGGUUCGGCAAGUCUGUUGUGGAAGCUCCUGGCUCAACCGGGAGAGGCCAAUGGAUACUACCGAGCUUGAAUGUGGGAGAGGUCACUGGAAUUCCUGGUGUAGCGGUGAAAUGCGUAGAGAUCAGGAGGAACACCAAUGGCGAAAGCAGGUGACUGGACCACUAUUGACACUGAGCCACGAAAGCUAGGGGAGCAAACAGGAUUAGAUACCCUGGUAGU
rnacentral:rRNA from 1 species